CAGUGAGGUGAUGAACUACUGUUUCUCUAUUGGUUUGACGGUCACAAUGAUGGCACAUUAUUGCUUCAAACUUGCUGAUCACUU
rfam:Physcomitrella patens subsp. patens PHYPAscaffold_39 genomic scaffold, whole genome shotgun sequence.